GAUGAAGAACGUAGCGAAAUGCGAUACUUGGUGUGAAUUGCAGAAUCCCGUGAACCAUCGAGUCUUUGAACGCAAGUUGCGCCUGAAGCCACUAGGCCGAGGGCACGCCUGCCUGGGCGUCACACGUCGUUGCCCCCCCCCAUCUACUCCUUCGGGAUUGCGGGGGGCGGAUGAUGGCCUCCCGUGCGCCUAGCCGCGCGGUUGGCAUAAAUACCAAGUCCUCGGCGACGCACGCCACGACAAUCGGUGGUUGCGAAACCUCGGUUGCCCGUCGUGUGCGUUCGUCGCGCAUCGAGGGCUCGAAAAAAUGCUCGGCUCCGGCUCGGCUUUCAACGCGACCCCAGGUCAGGCGGGGUUACCCGCUGAAUUUAAGCAUAUCAAUAAGCGGAGGA
rnacentral:misc_RNA from 1 species